GAGGAAUUCAGUGCUGUAGUUAACGCAAUAAGUACUCCGCCUGAGUAGUACGUACGCARGUAUGAAACUCAAAGGAAUUGACGGGACCCCGCACAAGCGGUGGAUCAUGUUGUUUAAUUCGAUGAUACGCGAAGAACCUUACCAGGUCUUGACAUCCCCUGCAAUGCUCUGGAGACAGAGUGGAGGUUAUCAGGGAGACAGGUGGUGCAUGGUUGUCGUCAGCUCGUGUCGUGAGAUGUUGGGUUAAGUCCCGCAACGAGCGCAACCCCUAUUGCUAGUUACCAUCAUUAAGUUGGGGACUCUAGCGAGACUGCCAGUGACAAACUGGAGGAAGGUGGGGAUGACGUCAAAUCAUCAUGCCCCUUAUGACCUGGGCUACAAACGUGAUACAAUGGCUGAAACAAAGGGCAGCAAAGCAGUGAUGCCAAGCGAAACCCAAAAAAGCAGUCUCAGUUCGGAUUGAAGUCUGCAACUCGACUUCAUGAAGUCGGAAUCGCUAGUAAUCGUGAAUCAGAAUGUCACGGUGAAUACGUUCUCGGGGUUUGUACACACCGCCCGUCAAACCACGAAAGUCAGCAAUACCCAAAGCCGGUGGCCUAACCGUAAGGAGGGAGCCGUUUAAGGUAGGGUUGAUGAUUGGGGUUAAGUCGUAACAAGGUAACCAAGGGCGAA
rnacentral:rRNA from 1 species